CAGUGUUCUGAAGCCCAAAGCGUCCGAUCAAUCAGAGAAAAUCAUCCCUCCAUAUCUCUCCAGCUCUUCUUCCUCCUCCUCCUCCUCGUCAGCUCCCGAGUUCUUCCUGAGCGAAGCAAGCCAAGGCAAGCUAGGUAGCAGAUCCAAGAAGGAGAAGCGAUGUCGGACGUGACGGCGGUGAUGGAUCUGGAGGAGGAGGAGCCGCGGCUGUCGCUCCCGCCGGGCUUCCGCUUCCACCCGACGGACGAGGAGGUGGUCACCCACUACCUCACCCCCAAGGCCGUCAACAACGCCUUCUCCUGCCUCGUGAUCGCCGACGUCGACCUCAACAAGACCGAGCCGUGGGAUCUCCCCGGGAAGGCGAAGAUGGGGGAGAAGGAGUGGUACUUCUUCGUGCACAAGGAUCGCAAGUACCCGACAGGGAUGCGCACCAACCGCGCCACGGAGAAGGGGUACUGGAAGGCGACGGGGAAGGACAAGGAGAUCUUCCGCGGCAAGGGCCGGGACGCCGUGCUCGUCGGCAUGAAGAAGACGCUCGUCUUCUACACCGGCCGCGCGCCCCGCGGCGAUAAGACGCCCUACGUCAUGCACGAGUACCGCCUCGAGGGCCAGCUGCCCCACCGCCUCCCCCGCUCCGCCAAGAACGAUUGGGCUGUUUGCCGGGUGUUCGACAAGGACUUGGCGGCGAAGAAUGCGCCGCCCCAGACGGCGCCGGCGGCCGUCGGGGUCAUGGAGGACCCGUACGCCUUCCUCGACGUCGACGACUUCCUCAACAACCCCGACCUGCUCAACAACGCCGACCUGCCGAUGCUCAUGGACUCCCCGUCAGGCGCCGACGACUUCGCCGGCGCCUCGAGCUCCACCUCCAGCGCCGCCGUGCCGUUCGAGCCGGACAUGGAGCAUCUUUCCAUCAAGACGGAGCCGCCGGUGCCGCAGCAGCAGAUGCAGAGCCCCAACUACUUCUACAUGCCGGCGGCGACGCCCAACGGCAACCAUGGCGGCGCCGGGUACUCACCCUACCAGGCCAUGGGGGACCAGCAGACCGCGAUCCGCAGGCACUGCAAGCCGGAGGCGGCGUCUUCGUCGGCGCUGCUGAGCCCUUCGCUGGGCUUCGACGCGGGGGCGCUCGCCGGCGCGGACACCUCGUCGUUCCUGAUGCCGUCGUCGCGGUCGUACCUCGAUCUGGAGGUCAUGGACUACUCCAACAUGUGGAAGAUCUGAUUGAAUCCAUCCAUCUCUCCGAUGGACUGGAGCGUCUCCGUUUGCUGGUAGCUAUAGAUGGUUAAUUUGGUUGGUGCUAGCUCUUGGAUUGAUUAGUUGCUUCAUUAACUUUGAUUAAGGAUUGGGUUAAUUAGGCGCGCGGCGAUGAUUCGAGGGGGAUCGUCGUGUGUUUGUUGUUGACGCGUGCAAGGCAUAAUGAUGGCCUGUGAGCGAGGGAGUGCUGAUUAAUCUUAAUUAGGGUGUGGUAUCAAACUGCUAGGAGGCAUCUGUAGUUUGUACAUAGGUACCGAAUUGCCAUCAUACAGUUCAGUGAUUAGGGGAUGAAUUGGAGGGUGAGAGAUAUACCGAGACCGACUUGAUUGAUGAAUCUGAUUGUGUGUUAAUUGAAAUGAAUUAUUCCCCUUCUAAUUGUUCUAUUUAUUUGAUCGUUGCUUGAUCUUAGUAUAUGUCAUGGUUGAUUCUGGGGUCAUGGUUAUUGGACGGUUUUGU
rnacentral:rRNA from 1 species